rnacentral:rRNA from 1 species
UACGUAGGGUCCGAGCGUUGUCCGGAAUUACUGGGCGUAAAGAGCUCGUAGGUGGUUUGUCGCGUUGUUCGUGAAAACUCACAGCUUAACUGUGGGCGUGCGGGCGAUACGGGCAGACUUGAGUACUGCAGGGGAGACUGGAAUUCCUGGUGUAGCGGUGGAAUGCGCAGAUAUCAGGAGGAACACCGGUGGCGGAAGGCGGGUCUCUGGGCAGUAACUGACGCUGAGGAAGCGAAAGGCGUGGGGAGCGAACAGG